rnacentral:rRNA from 1 species
CAGCACAGCAGUAGCAAUACUGUGGGUGGCGAGUGGCGGACGGGUGAGUAAUGCAUCGGGACCUACCUAGACGUGGGGGAUAACGUAGGGAAACUUACGCUAAUACCGCAUACGUCCUACGGGAGAAAGCAGGGGACCUUCGGGCCUUGCGCGGUUAGACGGACCGAUGUUCGAUUAGCUAGUUGGUAGGGUAAUGGCCUACCAAGGCGACGAUCGAUAGCUGGUCUGAGAGGAUGAUCAGCCACACUGGAACUGAGACACGGUCCAGACUCCUACGGGAGGCAGCAGUGGGGAAUAUUGGACAAUGGGCGCAAGCCUGAUCCAGCAAUGCCGCGUGUGUGAAGAAGGCCUUCGGGUUGUAAAGCACUUUUAUCAGGAGCGAAACGCUGUCGGCUAAUACCCGGCGGAACUGACGGUACCUGAGGAAUAAGCACCGGCUAACUUCGUGCCAGCAGCCGCGGUAAUACGAAGGGUGCAAGCGUUAAUCGGAAUUACUGGGCGUAAAGCGUGCGUAGGCGGUUUGUUAAGUCUGUUGUGAAAUCCCCGGGCUCAACCUGGGAAUGGCAAUGGAUACUGGCAAGCUAGAGUGUGAUAGA